AUACGUAGGGGGCGAGCGUUGUCCGGAAUGAUUGGGCGUAAAGGGCGCGUAGGCGGCGCGGUAAGUCUGGAGUGAAAGUCCUGCUUUCAAGGUGGGAAUUGCUUUGGAUACUGCCGCGCUUGAGUGCAGGAGAGGUUAUCGGAAUUCCCGGUGUAGCGGUGAAAUGCGUAGAGAUCGGGAGGAACACCAGUGGCGAAGGCGGGUAACUGGACUGCAACUGACGCUGAGGCGCGAAAGUGUGGGGAGCAAACAGGAUUAGAUAUUCUGGUAGUCCACACUGUAAACGAUGAAUGCUAGGUGUAAGAGGUAUCGACCCCUUUUGUGCCGGAGUCAACACAAUAAGCAUUCCGCCUGGGGAGUACGGCCGCAAGGUUGAAACUUAAAGGAAUUGACGGGG
rnacentral:rRNA from 1 species